CCUCAACUGCUUUCCCAAGCCACAAGCAAGGAACUGGAUGAGAAGCUGGGCAGCUGGGAUUAAAACUGGCACCCAUAUGGGAUCCUGGAGUAUGCAAGGAUUUUAAAGAAAUAUAUAUCUCUGUGAAUCAUCCAAGCAGUUGUAUCUGGCUUUGUGUGUCGGAUCUGAAGUCAUUGGAGCUGUUCUCUGUGCAGUCAAGUUUUCCUCUGUGAGCUUUCUUCAAGGAGUUUAGAUUUUGGCUGAAGGCUCUGGGACAUUUUCUGAAUUCAGAAAGCCUCAUCUGAACAUGAGAAAAAAUGUGGAGUGAAUUUUUAGCUGAGUCACCAUGAAGGGCAUUGACGAACUCUUUGUUUAGAAGUGCACAGAGUGGAACAAGCUUGGCAAGCAGCAAGAGAUCAUAAAUGGCAGACACUGCGCUGGAGGGAAACACCAUACAGAGUGCUAAAACCUGGAUUCAGGGAUCACCAGGUAUACUGAUGAUCCCCAGGACUUCAGAAGGAUCAUGGAAUAUCAGGAAGUCUGA